GACAUUCGGCCAUGACAGCAUUUACAAGUGCGCGAUCCCACAAUGCAACGCAUAUAUGUAAACAAUAACAAUAUUGGAAUAGAACCACGAUUGAGUAGACUAAGUGUGUAAACGUUCGUUUUAUAUUUACUACACAACUUGAUUAAUAAAUAACUGUUGGUCAGCUUUUUCCAAAUGUCAGUAUCAUUACAGUUUCCCGUACAUUAUGCCCGCCAGUUUUAUCGCUAUGUCGACGGCAUUCAAUAUUUCAUAAACACUACGUUUGAACUCAUGCUAUAUCAGCACACUAGCUAUGCAUACACAUUCCAUUUGCGUCGGCCUUUAAUGCUUAAUUUCUUUGAUAAGCAGCCGAUAAGCAUGUUUCUACCGCCCAGGCUCGGAAGUCAGUGAUCGUGAUACAUGAGAUAUAUACAAAUUUGUUAUGGUUUUAUGCAGGACCACUGCGUCUGGUGGACACUUUGCUUCAACGUAGAUAUAUAUAGUUCCAGUUUAGUCCUUACAAUGUAUUAUUUCCGCAGUUCUUCAACACUAGUCCAAGGGCACUGAGGGAACGCUUAGAGCAUACAGACACACCGGGUUUACAUAUACUAGGCUAGUAUACAGGUUUAUCAUAUACUACUGCAGAGUAGGGUGUGAAGAGCAGCAUGGAGAUUCGAAGACACGUAUACUCAGCACGUAUAUAUGUCUGAACUUCUUAAGGAUAUGCAACUGAAUGUAUUGUAUUGGUGGAAACUCUGCCUUUGUUAAGUAUAUUAGUAAUAUUUUUUUUUUUUUUUUUUAUUUUAUUGAUAAGCACAACAUACAUCUGUAAUAACAGCAGACACAUACAUGUAUUUAUAUGAGUAAUACUAUGUAUUAAUGUCUCAUAUUUUAGCACAUAGUAUCACACAGUAUCUUUAUCUCUUUUCUAGAUUGUUCCACACCGACAGAGAUCUCUUCAGGUUAACAUUUCGUACAUAUAGUAUGAAUUUAUAUUUUAUGUACAUGUAUAUAUUCCACAUACAUGUAGUACAGAAGCACCAGUAUUUAUCAUGUUCAUAUUGCUAUUAUAGAUUGCUACAUGUACAUGUAUCUCUAUUCUAGAUUAUUCUACACCUUCCAGGACAUUUCUCAGUCAUAUGUAUUUAUUUUAUAUGUAUGAUAUUUCAUCACAUAGCACAGUUUUUAUCAUAUUUAUAUUUAUUCCUGAGUGUUCCACAACCGUCCAAGAUCUCUUCAGGUGUAUAUUUCGUACGGUAUAUUAGAAUUAUAUGAAUUUAAAUGUAUAUAUAUUUCAGCACAAAGUACAUGAAGCACACAGUUUUUAUCAUGUUCAUAUCGCUAUUCUAUUUGCUAUCUCUAUACUAGAUUAUUUUACACAUUCCAGGAUUUUCCAGAUGGACAUUUCUCAGUAUUGUUAUGCAUACAUGUAUAUAUUUAUUUUAUAUCUAUUAUAUUUCAGCACAUAGUACAUGUAGCACACAGUUAUUUAUUGUGUUUAUAUCUUUAGUCUAGAUUGCUUCACACAUGCAGGGCUCUCCAGGUGUAUCGCCACAGGUCAUUUUCUUAUGUAUAUUGCACUACACCUGCUGGAUCGCCACAGGUUAUUUAUUUAUGUGUAUUGUACUAAGCCUGCUGGAUCGCCACAGGUUAUAUUAUUUUAUUUAUAUAUAUUGUACUACGCCUGCUGGAUCGCCACAGGUAAUUUUAUUUAUGUGUAUUGUACUACGCCUGUUGGAUCGCCACAGGUCGUAUUACCCUGCUGGAUCGCCACAGGCCAUUCAUUCUCUUUAUGUAUACUGUACUACACCUGCUGGAUCGCCACAGGUCAUUCUGUCUAUUUAUGUGUAUUGUACUACGCCUGCUGGAUCGCCACAGGUCAUUUUCUUAUUAUGUAUAUUGCACUACGCCUGCUGGAUCGCCACAGGUUAUUUUAUUUAUGUGUAUUGUACUACGCCUGCUGGAUCGCCACAGGUUAUUUUAUUUAUAUAUAUUGUACUACGCCUGCUGGAUCGCCACAGGAAAUUUUAUUUAUGUAUACAUGUAUUGUACUACAGCUGCUGGAUCGCCACAGGUUAUUUUACUUAGGUGUAUUGUACUACGCCUGCUGGAUCGCCACAGGUCAUACUACCCCUGCUGGAUCGCCACAGGUCAUUCAUUAUUUCAGUAUAGUAAUGCAUACAUGUAGGUAUUUAUUUUAUAUGUAUUAUAUUUCAGCACAUAGUACAUGUAGCACACAGUAUUUAUCAUGUUUAUAUCUUUAGUCUAGAUUGCUCCACACAUGCAGGGAUCUCUCCAGGUGUACAUUUCAUACAGUACAGUUAUAUAUAUUAUAUUUCAGGUCGAACCUGCUGGAUCGCUACAGGUCUUUCAUUCUUUUUAUGUAUAUUGUAUUACACCUGCUGGAUCGCCACAGGUCGUAUGGUACUUGCUGCAUCGCCACAGAUCAUUCAUUAUCUUAAUGUAUACUGUACUACGCAUGCUGGAUCGCUACAGGUUAAUUAAUUAUGUGUAUUGUACUAUGCCUGCUGGAUCGCCACAGGUCAUAUUAUCUUUUAUUAUGUAUUAAUGUGUUAUAUUUAACUCAGCUAGUAUUUCCACUUAGACUCUCUUGUUUAAGGAUUACUAAGACUUCCCAGGUUGUUUCUUUUCUUUUAUUUUACAGGAAAAUACAGAUACAGAUAUUAAAACCUUCGUUUUAUCGGAUGAAGACUUCAGAACUUUAUAGCACCGUUAUAUAUAGAAAACAUACCCUGAUGCCUGCCUUCAUAUAUAGUAAAAUGUGUUAGACAACAGUUCAACUUUGUUUAUUAACCUAUCGUUUUCGGAUGCAGAAUUCAGAACUAUUAAGCACUGGAAUAUGAGGACAGCAUAUCUUGAAGCAACUUCAGAACUAUAUAGCAACUAAAUAUAUAAGGAGGACGAUACUUGAUUCAUGCAUUCAUAGUUAAUGUGUCAGAACUACAGUCACACUUCUUUAAGCAUUAAACGCAAGAAUUUUAACUAUGUAAGACAGAGUUAUUUUAUCCGUCUGGGUUAGAGAGAAGUGAUUACUGUUAUCACUCUUUCAGAACUGGUAGAGGGUUCUUUUUAAAGCACAACAGAAAUGUGUUGUUUUUAAAAUCUUCAGCGGCAGCAGCGGGAAUUGAAGAUCAUAUCAUACAAACACUUGGUAGAUGGUCAUCGGACUGUUAUAUCAGACAUAUAAGAACUGAUAAGAGAGUUAUUUCUAAAGCACAACAGAUAAUGUGUCAUUUUUGAAAUUAAUGUUUUGGUAAUGUUGUUUAUUUUUACAUAUGUGUUUUUAAGCAUUAUUAUUUCUUGGGGGCUUUCAUUCUUUCAUUAAUGAACUCAUUUCAUUUGGCCUUUUUAAUUCCAGGGGAAUCAUACUCCCCCAAUUCAAUAAUACAUCAGAUAGGUUCCUGUCGAGGAACAAAUAGGUAGUUUAAAGUAGUAUUUUUACUACGCUGGGAUCGCCCAGAAGCAAUUAGGUUCAUUCCUGGGGGUCGCCCCAGGAAUUAGGUUCAUUCCUGUCGAGGAACAAAUAGGUUCAUUCCUGGGGAUCGCCCCAGGAACAAUAGGCUCAUUCCUGGGGGUCGCCCCAGGAAAUAGGUUCAUUCCUGUCGAGGAACAAUAGGCUCAUUCCUGGGGGUCGCCCCAGGAAAUAGGCUCAUUCCUGUCGAGGAACAAUAGGUCAUUCCUGUCGAGGAACAAUAGGUCAUUCCUGUCGAGGAACAAUAGGUCAUUCCUGUCGAGGAACAAUAGGUCAUUCCUGUCGAGGAACAUAAGUCAUUCCUGGGGGUCGCCCCAGGAAAUAGGCUCAUUCCUGUCGAGGAACAAUAGGUCAUUCCUGUCGAGGAACAAUAGGUCAUUCCUGUCGAGGAACAAUAGGUCAUUCCUGUCGAGGAACAUAAGUCAUUCCUGGGGGUCGCCCCAGGAAAUAGGUUCAUUCCUGCCGAGGAACAAUAGGCUCAUUCCUGGGGAUCGCCUCAGGAACAAUUUUUUAAAUUUAUUUUUCUCAUAUUUUGAUUAGUUUGAAAUAUUCAUUUUUUCUCAUAUUUUGAUAAGAUUUUUAAAAUUAAGCCAAAUUUUUUAAGUGAAUGAGUAGCCCCAAGAAAGCCAAUAAUGUAUUAUAGUGUUUAUAGUCUUGCCAUGUAGAAAGAUAUGUACUGUUAUGUUACAGUUUAUUUUAAUAUUAUGUGUAGAUUUAGUAUGUUUUGAUAUUUUAAUAAUAAACAUUAUUCUUAAAUUGUGUUGUGUAUAAAAGGAAAAUUGAUUUAUUAAAUUAUAGUUUAUACACAAUACAAUGCAUCUGUUCAUCAAAGAUUAGCAGGCCGUAUCUUAGUCUAUUCUUAGGCAAUUGCAUAACAUUUAUUUUUAGAUUAUUAGGAAUAGUGCCCUAGAGGGGGGUUAGAGUAUUGUUGAUGAAAUUGAGAGAACGCAUCGAUGUAUCGGAUGCAAGAACAAUUAGCUAUCCCACCCGCCUUCCCCUACAACACCUGUGCAUUAACUGGGUAUUUAGUCUACAGGUCAUGAUUGGAUAAAAUAUGCUAUAAGUACUGAAAGAGUUAUUUAGUUACAGUCAGGUCUAUAAUUAAAUUCUGACUAAACAUUUAAGAAUAUUCAUAUAGCGGAGUAGUUGGUUUUUGUUCUCAUAUAGCUGAUGAGUGUUUUCCAUGCAUUCACUCAAGCGAAGUCGAAAAUAUAUCUAUAAUUGAUGUUAUAAAGAAUGAUUUGAAAUUGCUAUAUUACAUUGUGAAAGAUCUAUUAUAUUUCUAGUUUGUUAUUUUCAAAUGUACAUAUUUGUUACUUCAUGUUUAAGGGGCUACUCAUAUAGAAAUGAUAUGUGUAUUUUUGCCUUUUUAAUUCCAGGGGAAUCAUACUCCCCCAAUUCAAUAAUACAUCAGAUAGGUUCCUGUCGAGGAACAAAUAGGUAGUUUAAAGUAGUAUUUUUACUACGCUGGGAUCGCCCAGAAGCAAUUAGGUUCAUUCCUGGGGGUCGCCCCAGGAAUUAGGUUCAUUCCUGUCGAGGAACAAAUAGGUUCAUUCCUGGGGAUCGCCCCAGGAACAAUAGGCUCAUUCCUGGGGGUCGCCCCAGGAAAUAGGUUCAUUCCUGUCGAGGAACAAUAGGCUCAUUCCUGGGGGUCGCCCCAGGAAAUAGGCUCAUUCCUGUCGAGGAACAAUAGGUCAUUCCUGUCGAGGAACAAUAGGUCAUUCCUGUCGAGGAACAAUAGGUCAUUCCUGUCGAGGAACAAUAGGUCAUUCCUGUCGAGGAACAAUAGGUCAUUCCUGUCGAGGAACAAUAGGUCAUUCCUGUCGAGGAACAUAAGUCAUUCCUGGGGGUCGCCCCAGGAAAUAGGUUCAUUCCUGCCGAGGAACAAUAGGCUCAUUCCUGGGGAUCGCCUCAGGAACAAUUUUUUAAAUUUAUUUUUCUCAUAUUUUGAUUAGUUUGAAAUAUUCAUUUUUUCUCAUAUUUUGAUAAGAUUUUUAAAAUUAAGCCAAAUUUUUUAAGUGAAUGAGUAGCCCCAAGAAAGCCAAUAAUGUAUUAUAGUGUUUAUAGUCUUGCCAUGUAGAAAGAUAUGUACUGUUAUGUUACAGUUUAUUUUAAUAUUAUGUGUAGAUUUAGUAUGUUUUGAUAUUUUAAUAAUAAACAUUAUUCUUAAA